GGCGAACGGGUGAGUAACACGUGAGCAACCUACCCUCAACUUCGGGAUAAGCCUCGGAAACGGGGUCUAAUACCGGAUAUCACUCCUUGUCUCAUGGCUUGGGGUUGAAAGUUCUGGCGGUUGGGGAUGGGCUCGCGGCCUAUCAGCUUGUUGGUGGGGUAAUGGCCUACCAAGGCGUCGACGGGUAGCCGGCCUGAGAGGGCGACCGGCCACACUGGGACUGAGACACGGCCCAGACUCCUACGGGAGGCAGCAGUGGGGAAUAUUGCGCAAUGGACGAAAGUCUGACGCAGCAACGCCGCGUGAGGGAUGACGGCCUUCGGGUUGUAAACCUCUUUCAGCAGGGACGAAGCGAGAGUGACGGUACCUGCAGAAGAAGGACCGGCCAACUACGUGCNNNCAGCCGCGGUAAUACGUAGGGUCCGAGCGUUGUCCGGAAUUAUUGGGCGUAAAGGGCUCGUAGGCGGUUCGUCACGUCGGGAGUGAAAACUCGGAGCUCAACUCCGAGCCUGCUUCCGAUAC
rnacentral:rRNA from 1 species